GGUAGGAAAAGAAGUAAAAACGAACACAGAGGGUGGAAGCGCUGCGCUUUUUUAUUCUAAACGGCUGUGCGCGUGAGCUUUCCCCGACCAAGUAAGUCUUUUCUCUGCAGCCCCCCCCCCCCCCCACACACACACAACCACUUUACGUCUACAGCAAAGUUGUCGCACGCAGCCAGGUCUCUUUGCCGUUGUUGUGUUCACUUGAAGCUCGUGGUCUUGCUAGUGGCGGCCUUGGACGAGAAAGGCAGGGGCCUCCGCACACACACAUACACACACACACAUAGAAGAGACCUGUCGACUUCAUUCGUUUCCGCGUUUGAUCUGUCAUUCAAUCCACUUCGUUCUCUGCGACAUGCACCGUAAUCGUAUCCGCGUGCGACCGGCUGGUAGCAGUCGUCUUUCAAGCGGCAACAGCUCGAUGGCUCACAUGAGCUUUGACGGCGCCGAUGUGCCUUUUUGUGAUCUUCGAGCAGCUGCGCCGCGGCCAGCCGAGAGCUCAUUCGCGGCGCCCAACAGCCAUGCGUGGAGUGCACCGUCGCCGUCCUCGCCGUACGACGCCAACGAGUCGGGCGAAGGCUGGCGGUACGUGCGUCGUAUCGCCAACCUUGCCUACAAUACCGUCAGUGGGGUGCUAGGCGUGCUGCAUGCGAAGUCACACGGGGAAGCCAAUGCGUCCACGGACAACAACACCUCUGCGAAGGCGUUCCCCUACCCGACAGUCCAUCGUAACACACCCCACACCUCUGCCGCGGCUCCGGCGCAAAGCUACUCUGGUGCCCCGCGACCGCCUGAAGAGACGCACGUAGCCGACACCAUCGAGCUCCGCCGGCCGCGACGCAGCACAGCUCAGCAUCAUGUGCCCCCGCCGCAGCCCCCGGUCUCCGAGCCGGCACCGCAAACGCGCGAUGCGCCGCUCACUUACCCCUCGGCGCGAGAGGCUCCACAGUGCCAAAUCACGGUGAACCAGUACUUCGCGGCACCUGAGCGCAGCAUCUAUCCUAUGGUGUUUGCACAUCCAGACGAGGCCACCACUUACCGUCGCGCCCCCGCUUACCCGUCUCGUGCGAGUCUUCUUACUGUCCCGUCCAGCCUGCAGGUCCAUGCCAAGCGCCCGCGCCUCGCGUCUCCUCCGGCAGCUGCCGCGGAGUCACGGAUGCGCAAGGCACCAAAAACAGCCACUGACAACGACGCCUGCGAUGCGUCGCUGAGCAACGCUCCCUCGGCCAUCCCGCCGGGCUCGCAGGAGAACUCCUUGACGGUGCCUAUCGGGUCGCUUGCGACGGUAAGACUGUUUGGCAAGGCAAAUGCAUUCAGCAAUGAUGACGCCUCUGUUGCUGCGAAGCCCGCUGCCCCGCUGGCCGAUGUGCCUACCGCGAAGGCACCUCUCUUUGGAGGCACAACGACACCUACAGCUGCCGCUGCAGCCCCCAACUUGUUUGUUUUCGGCUCAAAACCUGCAGACACGAUUCCUGCGCGUUCUGUCCCUGCGGCACCCGCCUUUGGCGCCCCGAAGCCGAACUCGUUUGUGAAGGCGGGCCCACCGGCGGUUAUUCCGGAUGACGGUGCGUUUGCGCCCAACGCGGAUAGCGACGACGAUGACAAGGGCAACGACAAGGGCACGAGACCCCUUAAGGAAAGCUCGGCACCGGCAAAGGCGCCGUUCAGCUUUAGCCCCGCUGGGGUGAAGCCCGCCUUCGGCGCGACGCCACCGUUGUCUACGGGAGCACCCGCAAACCCCUUCUCCUUCUCAGCUAAGCCUGCGGAGAAGGCGGACGCCCCUGCGGCACCCGCCUUUGGCGCCCCGAAGCCGAACUCGUUUGUGAAGGCGGGCCCACCGGCGGUUAUUCCGGAUGACGGUGCGUUUGCGCCCAACGCGGAUAGCGACGACGAUGACAAGGGCAACGACAAGGGCACGAGACCCCUUAAGGAAAGCUCGGCACCGGCAAAGGCGCCGUUCAGCUUUAGCCCCGCUGGGGUGAAGCCCGCCUUCGGCGCGACGCCACCGUUGUCUACGGGAGCACCCGCAAACCCCUUCUCCUUCUCAGCUAAGCCUGCGGAGAAGGCGGACGCCCCUGCGGCACCCGCCUUUGGCGCCCCGAAGCCGAACUCGUUUGUGAAGGCGGGCCCACCGGCGGUUAUUCCGGAUGACGGUGCGUUUGCGCCCAACGCGGAUAGCGACGACGAUGACAAGGGCAACGACAAGAAGGCCAAGGCUGAAAGUGCCACCCCGGGUGGUAGAAGCGGUCCCUUCUCAUUCAACCUGAACUCGAAUCGCGCGAAGCCAGCUUUUGGAUCCGGUUUUGCAUUUGGAGGAUCUUCAUCGCUCGGGGCAAGCACGGGUGCCUCCGGGACCGCGGCCAAUCCCUUCUCGUUCCCCAACCACCCCACGCCGACAGAGUCGUUUGGCGCUUCAUGCAGCCCCAGCUUCUCCUUUCCCACUUCAAAGAAGUGAAGACAUUUUUGUUCUCUGUACAAGUGCAGUGCAUCGGUGCGGUCACUCUUGCGCGCUUUCUUGCUCUGCUCACGAUCUCUCUCCUAACUUCUGCACUCGUUGUGCACGCUGUCCGAGACGGUGUACAGCACGGAGAGUUGGCGACGGCAGACCGUGCGAGGCAGUCGAGGGAAUAGCGGGAAGUCGUCGCUGCACCUCGGCCGCCGCGUAGACGUCGAGCAGCACUUCUUUGUUGGCAUGCCCUUUAUUAAAGUGUAAGCGUGUGCGUAUGUCCUGUCGGGCCGCACCUAUGACCCGGUGUCUCCCCCUGCCGUUUAGCCGCUAUGAUAAUAUCCGUUGGUUCCUCUCUUGUAUGUUUGCGUGUGUGCGUGUGCCCGUUUGCUGGCCGUAUGUAG
rnacentral:misc_RNA from 1 species